rnacentral:misc_RNA from 1 species
GAUGAAGAACGCAGCGAACUGCGAUAAGUAAUGUGAAUUGCAGAAUUCAGUGAAUCAUCGAGUCUUUGAACGCACAUUGCGCCCCCUGGCAUUCCGGGGGGCAUGCCUGUCCGAGCGUCAUUGCUGCCAUUCAAGCCCGGCUUGUGUGUUGGGUCGUCGUCCCCCCCGGGGGACGGGCCCGAAAGGCAGCGGCGACACCGCGUCCGGUCCUCGAGCGUAUGGGGCUUUGUCACCCGCUCGAUUAGGGCCGGCCGGGCGCCAGCCGGCGUCUCCAACCUUCUAUUUUACCAGGUUGACCUCGGAUCAGGUAGGGAUACCCGCUGAACUUAAGCAUAUCAAUAAGCGGAGGA